UACCGACGCUCUUCUUUUGAA
rnacentral:piRNA from 1 species